UGCAAUUAAUCAAGGAGUUAAAGUAUAAACAAGCUUGGCUUCCAAAUCUUUCAUAACACUCAUUAUCUCGUGGAGCAAGUACAUUCUGUGUGCUGGGGACUCCCAGUUUAAAACUGGCUUAUGCCAUUUUGAUUUCUGCUGCUCCAGAGUUCUAACUGGCUGAACUGUUGUUUAAAAAAAAUUACAUGUACAUAAAGGUGGCACCACAUGCCAGAACACGCCUCUGCCAUGAUCGCAGAGGGACUAAAAAGAAACUCUACUCCAAAGUAAGCAACAGUGCUCAAGUAGCUACAGCAGCACAGUGAAACCAGACACUGAGUCUUCUCUGUACACUGGUAAGUACCCUUUUGGGUAAAUUAUUAAAUAAUCGAACCAAGGGUUAAGUGGAAAACUUACAU
rnacentral:lncRNA from 1 species